rnacentral:misc_RNA from 1 species
AAGGUCGUAACAAGGUUUCCCGUAGGAUGAACCUGCGGAAGGAUCAUUAAAGAGUUAGGGUCCCUAGUGGGCCCGAACCUCCAACCCUUUGUUGUCGACAAAAAAUUCGUUGCUUUGGCGGGACGUCCCCCCCGUUCACGGGGGGAGGGCUGCCGGGCUCUUAACCGAGCCGGGUAUGCGCCCGCCAGAGUCAAACUCCAACUCUUCUCUUGAACAGUACAGUCUGAGUAAAACUUUUAAUUAAUUAAAA